AUGCACGCCAACAUACAGCUGAAAACAGAUUCCAUUCUUCCUGUGGCGCUAGUGCUUGCCUGGCAAUCAGGAGCUGCAGACAGAUUGUGGAUCAUACACAUGCUUAAUCUGCACAAAGUUCUGCUUCAAGUACAUCAUCAGGCAUUACUGCAAGAACUACUCAGCUGGUUUGAAGAAACGGAUGCCUACAUUACAGGGACUUGGUCACCGACACCGUUGAAGUUGAACUUGAGCUCCUUCAAUCUGGGAAGUUUGUUGAUGCCGGAGAGAGAUGUGGAAGAUGACCAGACAAUCUUCUUGAGCCUAGGAGCAGAUCCUCUGGUGAAGACUAUCUUUGUGAUGGCCGAGCAGUCAACAACAAGAAGGUUGAGCCACAAGAACUCAUCUUUUUUCAAUGUAAUCUUGUUUUGA
rnacentral:rRNA from 1 species